rnacentral:rRNA from 1 species
UACGAAGGGUGCUAGCGUUGCUCGGAAUCACUGGGCGUAAAGCGCACGUAGGCGGCUUUCUAAGUCAGGGGUGAAAUCCUGGAGCUCAACUCCAGAACUGCCUUUGAUACUGGGAAGCUCGAGUCCGGAAGAGGUGAGUGGAACUCCGAGUGUAGAGGUGAAAUUCGUAGAUAUUCGGAAGAACACCAGUGGCGAAGGCGGCUCACUGGUCCGGUACUGACGCUGAGGUGCGAAAGCGUGGGGAGCAAACAGG